rnacentral:rRNA from 1 species
AGUGAACGCUGGCGGUAGGCCUAACACAUGCAAGUCGAACGGCAGCACAGUAAUAGCUUGCUCUUACGGGUGGCGAGUGGCGGACGGGUGAGGAAUACAACGGAAUCUACUUUUUCGUGGGGCUUACGUAAGGUAACUUUCACUCAUACCGCAUACGACCUACGGGUGGAAGCGGUGGGUCUUCGGACCUUGCGCGGUUUAAAGAGGCGAUGUAGGAUUUGGUUGGUGGGGGGGUAAAUGCCCAACAAGGCGACGAGUCGUAGCUGGUCUGAGAGGAUGAUCAGCCACACUGGAACUGAGACACGGUCCAGACUACUACGGGAGGCAGCAGUGGGGUAUAUUGGACAAUGGGCGCAAGCAUGGUCCAGCGAGAGCGCGUGGGUGAAGAAGGCCCUCGGGUUGUAAAGCCGUUUUGUGGGGAAAGAAAAGCAGUAGGUUAAUACCCCGCUGUUCUGACGGUACCGAAAGAAUAAGCACCGGCUAACUUCGUG